rnacentral:rRNA from 1 species
GACGAACGCUGGCGGCGUGCUUAACACAUGCAAGUCGAACGAAGCUUUCUGACGGAUUCUUCGGCGGGAGUAUGAUAUGACUGAGUGGCGGCCGGGGGAGUGACGCGUGAGUAACCUGGGCUUCUGAGGGGGGUAGCGUUUGGCAACGAACGGUAAUAUCGCAUAAUGUUUUUUGAGCGCAUGAUCGAAAUACCAAAGAUUUAUCACCGAAGGAUGGACUCGCGGCUGAUUUGGUAUGUGGGGGGGUAACGGCCUACCAAGGCGAAGAUCAGGUGCCGGACUGGGGAGUUGGUCCGCCACAUUGGGACUGGGGCACCGCCCAGGAUUCUUCGGGAGGGAGGAGUGGGGAAAAUUGGAAAAUGGGCGCAAGCCUGAUGCAACAACGGCGCGUGAAGUAAGACGGUUUUCGGAGUGUAAACUUCUGUUCAUACUGAAGAAUAAUGACGGUAGCGAAGGAGCAAGCCACGGCUAACUACGUG